rnacentral:rRNA from 1 species
GACGUAGGGAGCAAGCGUUGUCCGGAAUCAUUGGGCGUAAAGCGCGCGUAGGUGGCCCCAUAAGUCCGCUGUGAAAGUCAAAGGCUCAACCUUUGAAAGCCGGUGGAUACUGUGGGACUAGAGUACGGAAGAGGCGAGUGGAAUUCCUGGUGUAGCGGUGGAAUGCGCAGAUAUCAGGAGGAACACCGAUGGCGAAGGCAGGUCUCUGGGCCACUACUGACGCUGAGAAGCGAAAGCAUGGGGAGCGAACAGG